rnacentral:rRNA from 1 species
UACGGAGGAUGCAAGCGUUAUCCGGAAUGAUUGGGCGUAAAGCGUCCGCAGGUGGCUGUGUAAGUCUGCUGUUAAAGAGUGAGGCUCAACCUCAUAAAAGCAGUGGAAACUACACAGCUAGAGUGCGUUCGGGGCAGAGGGAAUUCCUGGUGUAGCGGUGAAAUGCGUAGAGAUCAGGAAGAACACCGGUGGCGAAGGCGCUCUGCUAGGCCGCAACUGACACUGAGGGACGAAAGCUAGGGGAGCGAAUGGG